rnacentral:rRNA from 1 species
AGGACGAACGCUGGCGGCGUGCUUAACACAUGCAAGUCGAGCGGAAAGGCCACUUCGGUGGUACUCGAGCGGCGAACGGGUGAGUAACACGUGAGUAAUCUGCCCUCCACUUUGGGAUAGCCACCGGAAACGGUGAUUAAUACCGGAUAUGACCUGUGCCCGCAUGGGUGUUGGUGGAAAGUUUUUCGGUGGGGGAUGUGCUCGCGGCCUAUCAGCUUGAUGGUGGGGUAAUGGCCUACAUGGCUUCGACGGGUAGCCGGCCUGAGAGGGUGACCGGCCACGACUGGGACUGGAGACACGGCCCAGACUCCGUACGGGAGGCAGCAGGUGGGGAAUAGUUGGACAAGUGGGGACGAAGCCUGGACUCCAGCAACGCCGCGGUGAGGGAUGACGGCCGUUGGGUUACGUAACUCUUCGCUGCGACGAGACGAAGUGAGUA